AGAGUUUGAUCCUGGCUCAGGAUGAACGCCGGCGGUGUGCCUAAUACAUGCAAGUCGUACGCACUGGCCCAACUGAUUGAUGGUGCUUGCACCUGAUUGACGAUGGAUCACCAGUGAGUGGCGGACGGGUGAGUAACACGUAGGUAACCUGCCCCGGAGCGGGGGAUAACAUUUGGAAACAGAUGCUAAUACCGCAUAACAACAAAAGCCACAUGGCUUUUGUUUGAAAGAUGGCCUUGGCUAUCACUCUGGGAUGGACCUGCGGUGCAUUAGCUAGUUGGUAAGGUAACGGCUUACCAAGGCGAUGAUGCAUAGCCGAGUUGAGAGACUGAUCGGCCACAAUGGAACUGAGACACGGUCCAUACUCCUACGGGAGGCAGCAGUAGGGAAUCUUCCACAAUGGGCGCAAGCCUGAUGGAGCAACUCCGCGUGAGUGAAGAAGGGUUUCAAAUAGUAAAGCUCUGUUGUUGGAGAAGAACGUGCGUGAGAGUAACUGUUCACGCAGUGACGGUAUCCAACCAGAAAGUCACGGCUAACUACGUGCCAGCAGCCGCGGUAAUACGUAGGUGGCAAGCGUUAUCCGGAUUUAUUGGGCGUAAAGCGAGCGCAGGCGGUUGCUUAGGUCUGAUGUGAAAGCCUUCGGCUUAACCGAAGAAGUGCAUCGGAAACCGGGCGACUUGAGUGCAGAAGAGGACAGUGGAACUCCAUGUGUAGCGGUGGAAUGCGUAGAUAUAUGGAAGAACACCAGUGGCGAAGGCGGCUGUCUGGUCUGCAACUGACGCUGAGGCUCGAAAGCAUGGGUAGCGAACAGGAUUAGAUACCCUGGUAGUCCAUACCGUAAACGAUGAGUGCUAGGUGUUGGAGGGUUUCCGCCCUUCAGUGCCGGAGCUAACGCAUUAAGCACUCCGCCUGGGGAGUACGACCGCAAGGUUGAAACUCAAAGGAAUUGACGGGGGCCCGCACAAGCGGUGGAGCAUGUGGUUUAAUUCGAAGCUACGCGAAGAACCUUACCAGGUCUUGACAUCUUGCGCUAACCUUAGAGAUAAGGCGUUCCCUUCGGGGACGCAAUGACAGGUGGUGCAUGGUCGUCGUCAGCUCGUGUCGUGAGAUGUUGGGUUAAGUCCCGCAACGAGCGCAACCCUUGUUACUAGUUGCCAGCAUUAAGUCGGGCACUCUAGUGAGACUGCCGGUGACAAACCGGAGGAAGGUGGGGACGACGUCAGAUCAUCAUGCCCCUUAUGACCUGGGCUACACACGUGCUACAAUGGACGGUACAACGAGUCGCAAGCUCGCGAGAGUAAGCUAAUCUCUUAAAGCCGUUCUCAGUUCGGACUGUAGGCUGCAACUCGCCUACACGAAGUCGGAAUCGCUAGUAAUCGCGGAUCAGCAUGCCGCGGUGAAUACGUUCCCGGGCCUUGCACUCACCGCCCGUCA
rnacentral:rRNA from 1 species